AAAGGGGAAGAGUCCUAAUUUUGGAAGGAACAAGUACCCCUUCUUUACAAUGUGGGGAUUAUAAAAUGGUUUAGUGGCAAUGCAAAUAAAAUAGAGAGUGGAUGCCCUUUUCAUCAAGAAACGUCUGCGCUACUUUCCCCUUUGUUAUCUCUUCUAGUCUUGUCUCCUUUGGCAAGCACCACUAGUUAGUAGAAAGGUCUAAUUAGGGGUAGUGCCCUAAUGCUAGCCAAACAAGAUCAAAGUA
rnacentral:lncRNA from 1 species